rnacentral:rRNA from 1 species
UACGUAGGGUGCAAGCGUUGUCCGGAAUUAUUGGGCGUAAAGAGCUUGUAGGCGGUUUGUCGCGUCUGCUGUGAAAUUUCGGGGCUCAACCCCGAACUUGCAGUGGAUACGGGCAGACUAGAGGUAGGUAGGGGAGAAUGGAAUUCCUGGUGUAGCAGUGAAAUGCGUAGAUAUCAGGAGGAACACCGAUGGCGAAGGCAGGUCUCUGGGCUGACACUGACGCUCAUGCACGAAAGCGUGGGGAGCAAACAGG